GAAUUAUAUCAUAAAUUAAUAUCAAAUAUUAAGUUUCUUUUAUUAUAUAACAAGAAUUGUAGUAAAUAUUAAAUCCCCAAAUUUUCGAACUUAGUGGAGAUUUAAUUUUGAAGAUAGGCGGAAAGGAGCGAACUUGCUCACCCAUACAAUCAACGCAUGCACCAAACACGUCUGUAUACGUACGGCUGCUCUUAAUUUCAUGAUCGACUAGUUCAAUAAUUUUUCAUUUGGGUAACUGAGAGCAAAAUUAGAAUUAAAUGAAUGAUCUUCUGUUAACAACGUUGGACGAGCGAUAAACAACACAACUUGAACAUACAACAGCAUUAUAAUGGCAGUAUCAAAGAGGGAGGAGAUCCUCUCACUGAUUGCAACAGUUGGCAGCUCUAGAAAAAAACCCCCCAAGUCAAUUCACGUCGUAUCCCCUUCAACUCUGCCUGCCACCCGAUAAACAUCCAUUGCCUAUAGUUGGAGAGGCCCCCAAAAAUGGACCUAAAGUCCAAAGAAUCGAUAUCUAGUGAUGGUCAUCCUUUUGAAUUCGUCAACAGAAUUCAGGCGACAAUGAGUCUUUAAUAUGCACUUUCAUUGGCACUGAUUCAUCUGCCAAUUCAACUCGUCAACAAGGUUUUUGAUGGUCUCUUCAAA
rnacentral:misc_RNA from 1 species